rnacentral:rRNA from 1 species
AACGAACGCUGGCGGCAUGCCUAACACAUGCAAGUCGAACGAGAUCUUCGGGUCUAGUGGCGCACGGGUGCGUAACGCGUGGGAAUCUGCCCUUUGGUUCGGAAUAACAGUUGGAAACGACUGCUAAUACCGGAUGAUGACGAAAGUCCAAAGAUUUAUCGCCAGAGGAUGAGCCCGCGUAGGAUUAGCUAGUUGGUGUGGUAAAGGCGCACCAAGGCGACGAUCCUUAGCUGGUCUGAGAGGAUGAUCAGCCACACUGGGACUGAGACACGGCCCAGACUCCUACGGGAGGCAGCAGUGGGGAAUAUUAGACAAUGGGCGAGAGCCUGAUCCAGCAAUGCCGCGUGAGUGAUGAAGGCCCUAGGGUUGUAAAGCUCUUUUACCCGGGAUGAUAAUGACAGUACCGGGAGAAUAAGCCCCGGCUAACUCCGUGCCAGCCGCCGCGGUAA